CAUGUAGGGUGCGAGCGUUGUCCGGAAUUAUUGGGCGUAAAGAGCUCGUAGGCGGUGUGUCGCGUCGGCCGUGAAAACCUGCAGCUUAACUGUGGGCGUGCGGUCGAUACGGGCAUCACUGGAGUUCGGCAGGGGAGACUGGAAUUCCUGGUGUAGCGGUGAAAUGCGCAGAUAUCAGGAGGAACACCGGUGGCGAAGGUGGGUCUCUGGGCCGAUACUGACGCUGAGGAGCGAAAGCGUGGGGAGCGAACAGG
rnacentral:rRNA from 1 species